CCCCACCUUCCCUCAGUAAACCCAGGGUCCCUGGUCCUGCCCCUCAGGGCCUAUAAGCCACUGGGACCCUCUGCCUGGCUUCUCCCUUGAAGACGGUGCUGCCUGAGUUGAGGCCUGACUUGGCAUAACUUGGAAACUUGCUGGUCAGAGGGUGGCACCCUGUAUGCCCCUCCCUUCCAGCCUGGUCAGUGAUCCCUACUCCAGGCUGUUUGAGACCCAGGCCACACUAUCAUGUAUCCAGUGAACUCUUCCCCCGCCGGGAACUGGUGACUCAUCACUGAAGACUUGUGACAAAGAGCAGCUCCACACCUGUGCACACUUGGGGCAGGCGUGUUUCCAGAGGCCCAGAGGGACAGCGAGAGCGUGAGCAGCAACACUGUGCCAAGCAGGAAGGUGUCCAAGUGACACCCAGGACAACUGGAAGAAGCCCUCGGUGAUCACAGAAAUGGGGAGAGGCUCUGAGCCAGAUGCUGGAAGGGAUGCACACUGCCUUGCUUCCUCUAACUCUCCCUGACAUAGUUCCUGAUCCACCCAACAUCCUGCCUCUGAGGCUGCACCGUCUUGCACGGCUUCUGCCAGUGGAGUGCUGAUGCAACAGAUGUGAAUAACCUCCAGGACUGAGGACAGUGGAUGCAGGAAAAUCCUUAGGAAAGGAUGUUUUGAGUAUUUAUUCCCUUUGUUCUUAAUAGAAUUUAUUUUACUAAACCUGCCUGAUGUUUCAACCUGGGGCUGGUGCUCCGGCCUGGACCAUGCCAUCCGAAAAGGCCAGAAAUUCUCCCUAGAAGAUGGAUGGCAACUUGAAAGCCAGUGGGACCAUGUCUCCACAUCUGACACACUGCAGCCCCAAAGAAUAUAUUUGUUCAAUUGAAUCUAAAUGGAGAGGGUAUACCACAAUGGAAAAACAGCCCUAAAAGAUUUGGUCCUGCAAAGCUCUGAACAGCAUCUAUGUGGUAGCUUGCAGCAGUAUUGCCUCUGGUUCAUUCGGGGUCCCUGUAUCCACAUCCUUUCACACAGACUUGGGCCUUGGCCAUGUGGUCUGCUUUGGACAAUGGGAGAAUAGUGAACGUGAUAUGAGACUUGGGCUUGAUUUCUCUAACUGCCAUGGGAGCCCCGAGGCCACCAUGUGAACAAGCCUAAGCCAGAGGAGAACCAAGGGCUCAGCCAACAGCCAACUACCAGACAUGAGCGAAGCCCCUGACUGCCCUCUGACCAUAAGACAUAGUUGAGUUCAGCCAAGCCCAGCAGAAGAAUCGCCUGUCCGUGCCCAGCCCCCAUCACUGAUCCAAAUCAUUAUAAAGCUAAUACAUUUGUUGGUUUAAGCCACUAAGUUUCAGAGGUAGUUUGUUAAUAUGCAAAAGCUAACCUAAUCACUUCUUAGAACAGCACACCCCAAAUAGUAUCUGGAGAGAUAAAGCUAGGCAAACAGGCACACCACCAGCCCCAGGCUGUGCUAUCAGGCACUGUGGGAGGGACAGGAGGAUCCCCCAGAUUCUAGGCCAGGAGAGAGGGGUGAGGUAUUCACCUUGCAUACAAAAUUUAAAGGGCUACCCCAAAACUCAGUAAUGAAGACACAUGAUGUAAUAUUUUAAUGUAAUAUUUAAAAAAAAUCAAAUUGGUAUCUCUGGUCCACGUCCCAG
rnacentral:lncRNA from 1 species